rnacentral:rRNA from 1 species
UUAAGUUAAUAAGGGCGCACGGUGGAUGCCUUGGCACUAGGAGCCGACGAAGGACGUGACAAACGACGAUAUGCCUUGGGUAGCUGUAAGUAAGCGAUGAUCCAGGGAUUUCCGAAUGGGGGAACCCAACAGGUAAUACCUGUUACCUACAUCUGUUAAGGAUGUGAGGAGGAAGACGCAGUGAACUGAAACAUCUAAGUAGCUGCAGGAAGAGAAAGCAAAAGCGAUUGCCUUAGUAGCGGCGAGCGAAACGGCAGAAGGGCAAACCGAAGAGUUUACUCUUCGGGGUUGUAGGACUGCAAUGUGGACUCAAAGAUUAUAGAAGAAUGAUUUGGGAAGAUCAGCCAAAGAGAGUAAUAGCCUCGUAUUUAAAAUAGUCUUUGUACUUAGCAGUAUCCUGAGUACGGCGGGACACGUGAAAUCCCGUCGGAAUCUGGGAGGACCAUCUCCCAACCCUAAAUACUCCCUAGUGACCGAUAGUGAACCAGUACCGUGAGGGAAAGGUGAAAAGCACCCCGGGAGGGGAGUGAAAUAGAACCUGAAACCGUGUGCCUACAACAAGUUCGAGCUCGUUAAUGGGUGAGAGCGUGCCUUUUGUAGAAUGAACCGGCGAGUUACGUUAUGAUGCGAGGUUAAGUUGAAGAGACGGAGCCGUAGGGAAACCGAGUCUGAAUAGGGCGCCUUAGUAUCAUGACGUAGACCCGAAACCAUGUGACCUACCCAUGAGCAGGUUGAAGGUGCGGUAAGACGCACUGGAGGACCGAACCAGGGCACGUUGAAAAGUGCUUGGAUGACUUGUGGGUAGCGGAGAAAUUCCAAACGAACUUGGAGAUAGCUGGUUCUCUCCGAAAUAGCUUUAGGGCUAGCGUCGACAUUAGAGAUUCUUGGAGGUAGAGCACUGUUUGGGUGAGGGGUCCAUCCCGGAUUACCAAUCUCAGAUAAACUCCGAAUGCCAAUGAAUUAUGGUCGGCAGUCAGACUGCGAGUGCUAAGAUCCGUAGUCGAAAGGGAAACAGCCCAGACCACCAGCUAAGGUCCCAAAAUAAUUGUUAAGUGGAAAAGGAUGUGGGGUUGCACAGACAACUAGGAUGUUAGCUUAGAAGCAGCUAUUCAUUCAAAGAGUGCGUAAUAGCUCACUAGUCGAGUGACCCUGCGCCGAAAAUGUACCGGGGCUAAAACAAUUUACCGAAGCUGUGGAUACCUUUAUAGGUAUGGUAGGAGAGCGUUCUAUGUGUGAUGAAGGUAUACCGUGAGGAGUGCUGGAACGCAUAGAAGUGAGAAUGCCGGUAUGAGUAGCGAAAGACAGGUGAGAAUCCUGUCCACCGUAAGACUAAGGUUUCCAGGGGAAGGCUCGUCCGCCCUGGGUUAGUCGGGACCUAAGGAGAGACCGAAAGGUGUAUCCGAUGGACAACAGGUUGAUAUUCCUGUACUAGAGUAUGUAGUGAUGGAGGGACGCAGUAGGCUAACUAAAGCAGACGAUUGGAAGAGUCUGUCUAAGCAGUGAGGUGUGAAUUGAGUCAAAUGCUUAAUUCUAUAACAUUGAGCUGUGAUGGGGAGCGAAGUUUAGUAGCGAAGUUAGUGACGUCACACUGCCAAGAAAAGCUUCUAGCGUUUAAACAUACUCUACCCGUACCGCAAACCGACACAGGUAGUCGAGGCGAGUAGCCUCAGGUGAGCGAGAGAACUCUCGUUAAGGAACUCGGCAAAAUGACCCCGUAACUUCGGGAGAAGGGGUGCUGACUUAAAGUCAGCCGCAGUGAAUAGGCCCAAGCAACUGUUUAUCAAAAACACAGCUCUCUGCUAAAUCGUAAGAUGAUGUAUAGGGGGUGACGCCUGCCCGGUGCUGGAAGGUUAAGAGGAGUGCUUAGCGUAAGCGAAGGUAUGAAUUGAAGCCCCAGUAAACGGCGGCCGUAACUAUAACGGUCCUAAGGUAGCGAAAUUCCUUGUCGGGUAAGUUCCGACCCGCACGAAAGGCGUAAUGAUUUGGGCACUGUCUCAACGAGAGACUCGGUGAAAUUUUAGUACCUGUGAAGAUGCAGGUUACCCGCGACAGGACGGAAAGACCCCAUGGAGCUUUACUGCAGUUUGAUAUUGAGUGUCUGUACCACAUGUACAGGAUAGGUAGGAGUCUAAGAGAUCGGGACGCCAGUUUCGAAGGAGACGCUGUUGGGAUACUACCCUUGUGUUAUGGCCACUCUAACCCAGAUAGGUGAUCCCUAUCGGAGACAGUGUCUGACGGGCAGUUUGACUGGGGCGGUCGCCUCCUAAAAGGUAACGGAGGCGCCCAAAGGUUCCCUCAGAAUGGUUGGAAAUCAUUCGCAGAGUGUAAAGGUAUAAGGGAGCUUGACUGCGAGAGCUACAACUCGAGCAGGGACGAAAGUCGGGCUUAGUGAUCCGGUGGUUCCGUAUGGAAGGGCCAUCGCUCAACGGAUAAAAGCUACCCUGGGGAUAACAGGCUUAUCUCCCCCAAGAGUUCACAUCGACGGGGAGGUUUGGCACCUCGAUGUCGGCUCGUCGCAUCCUGGGGCUGUAGUCGGUCCCAAGGGUUGGGCUGUUCGCCCAUUAAAGCGGCACGCGAGCUGGGUUCAGAACGUCGUGAGACAGUUCGGUCCCUAUCCGUCGCGGGCGUAGGAAAUUUGAGAGGAUCUGCUCCUAGUACGAGAGGACCAGAGUGGACUUACCGCUGGUGUACCAGUUGUCUUGCCAAAGGCAUCGCUGGGUAGCUAUGUAGGGAAGGGAUAAACGCUGAAAGCAUCUAAGUGUGAAACCCACCUCAAGAUGAGAUUUCCCAUGAUUAUAUAUCAGUAAGAGCCCUGAGAGAUGAUCAGGUAGAUAGGUUAGAAGUGGAAGUGUGGCGACACAUGUAGCGGACUAAUACUAAUAGCUCGAGGACUUAUCCAA